CACCAUUAAUUUGUUGGUAACCAGUAAUGUAUGUAUUUCUUACAUGAUUCUGAAAAUUGGUAGCAGAAUGUGGACAAUGCCUGAAGCAAAAGAUAUCAUCAGGACAACUGGGACUGGAGAAAAUAAGAUGAAGCUUGUUUCUAGCGAUUGCAAUUCACGAAUUAUGACUGAAAUGCAAGAGCCUAAGAGCAUCAUAGGAAAAGCUCCCAAGACCCAUACUACUAUACAGUAAGUACAGUUUCAUUAUCUAUAGAGGAAAUUCUCAUUUGUGCAUGCUAGGUAGCAAUAAAGUUCGAGCAUAGAAGCAGUAAAGGCUGAAAUUAUGGACCACCUUAUGAGUGGCAAGUAUACAAGUAAGCAUUCUUAUGCUUGUUUCCUGAAUUAUGGUUGGUAGCCUAAUAACAGAACUUAUGUGAUGUACAUUCAUUUAUGCAAUACCCUUGGCUUUUCUUCAUGGGGUACCUCGUGUUUAUUACAAGGGUCGCCAAGGGGACUAUUAUGUCAUGGUGAUGGAUAUGUUGGGAGUCUAUGGGAUGUUUGGUAUGGGAUGUUUGGAAUAAUAACUCCUAUGCAAUGUCAACAGAAAUGGUUGCUUGUAUUGCUAUUGAAGCAAUCUCUAUUUUAGAGAAGAUGCAUUCUAAAGGGUAGGCCUGCUCUUUACGCUAUGAAGAUGCAGAAUCUCAAUUUAUGUAAAAGUGUGUAAACAAUUUAUGUAUCUCUUUACUAUUUUGGUGAAUGUAUUAUUUGAAUAUAAUGGGAUUUAAUAUUGAAAUAUAA